UUAGGUAUAAUGAAAAUAUAUAGAAGGGUAUAAGUUAUAUGGAAGGCUAUAGGAAACUUAUCUAAAAUUUACUAAAUCAUAAUACCAUUGUAAAUGAAUAAUUCAAAUAUACAUGUUGAGGAGGCCACUCAUUAUUCAUUGAAAGUCGUAUUAUUUUUCCUUUUAAGUUUAUUUAUUUAAAUUUAUUUGUAAAGUUUUAGAUUUUUUUAUGUAGUGUGGUGCGCUUUAAAAAUCCGAAUUGCGUUGGAUACAAGUCCGUUACAAUUUUAGCAGACUUUGAAAAUGACACAACCUUUGAAUUAAAUGUGAAUUAAUGAAAUGGGACUGUUUUUCAAUGUCAGUAAAUAAUUAGCAAAUAAUUAAAAAAAACAUAAAAAAAUUUUAUCAAUUUGACUACAAAAGAAUCAUUAUUUUGCAUUGGAUUCCAUCAUUAAUAUUUUAUGAUGGAACUUCAAAACUUAAAUCAAGCCCGUUCUAAGAUUAUAAUUGCAAAUUUACAUUUUCCCACUGCUGCGAGAACAAUUUGUGAGGCAUUUAAAUUAAAAAUGACUCAACAGUAUGGUUGUCGCGGAACGGAUUAGGGUUAUCGAUAGUUAGUUAAGUUUAAACUUAGCGCCGCAGUAUUAUAUGUAUCGAUUGCUUUGGUAUUUAAGUUUAGGUUAUUUGAAAAAAAGUGUAAACAGAGGGAAAAAAAAGUGUAAACAGAGGGAAACAGUUUGGCGGAAUUAGACCAAUUUGCGCCAUCACAAUAAGAGGGAAGAGAAACUGCGAAUAAAACCAUCAACAAACACAGAACUCCAACUGUUGUCCAGCACUAGUGUUUAAAGUGUUUAAAGGCAUUCCCUGUGAUCGGCCAAGCGGCGACAAUGGUUAUAUUUGGUUUCUUCCCCAUGGACUUGUAAAAGACUUUUAUAGUUGGCAAAUAUCGAUGUAAACGAUAGCUGAAGUGCGCAAUAAUUUAUGGAGACUUAUAUGCUCCAAAUAAGUAUAACCACGUUGGUUAAUAACUAUUAAUAUUUAUUAAAGAUAACUGCAUGAAUAGUGUGGAUACAAAGAUUUGGUUGAAUGUAUAUGUUGUCAAUAUUAAGAUGAUUUCUUGAAGAGUGAAGCUUCUUGUAGCGAGUAGUCUUUUAGUAUGCCCAAAGGGAUUUUUGAUACCAUGGCAAAGAAGUGUUUAUUCUUUGCAAUUUUAAAUUGUGUCGGUUGACUCGCCACAGUAC